rnacentral:rRNA from 1 species
UACGUAGGGUGCGAGCGUUAAUCGGAAUUACUGGGCGUAAAGCGUGCGCAGGCGGUUCGUUGUGUCGGCGGUGAAAGCCCCGGGCUCAACCUGGGAAUGGCCGUUGAAACUGGCGAACUGGAGUGUGGCAGAGGGGGGUGGAAUUCCGCGUUGUAGCAGUGAAAUGCGUAGAGAUGCGGAGGAACACCGAUGGCGAAGGCAGCCCCUGGGCUAACACUGACGCUCAGGCACGAAAGCGUGGGGAGCAAACAGG